UACGGGGGGAGCAAGCGUUGUUCGGAUUUACUGGGCGUAAAGGGCGCGUAGGCGGUCGUGACAAGUCACUUGUGAAAUCUCCGGGCUUAACUCGGAACGGUCAAGUGAUACUGUCGGACUAGAGUACAGAAGGGGCAACUGGAAUUCCCGGUGUAGCGGUGAAAUGCGCAGAUAUCGGGAGGAACACCAAUGGCGAAGGCAGCUCGCUGGGACGUGACUGACGCUGAGACGCGAAAGCGUGGGGAGCAAACAGG
rnacentral:rRNA from 1 species